AUUGAACGCUGGCGGCAUGCCUUACACAUGCAAGUCGAACGGUAACAGCUCUUCGGAGGCUGACGAGUGGCGAACGGGUGAGUAAUACAUCGGAACGUGCCCGAUCGUGGGGGAUAACGGAGCGAAAGCUUUGCUAAUACCGCAUACGAUCUACGGAUGAAAGCAGGGGACCCUCGGGCCUUGCGCGAACGGAGCGGCCGAUGGCAGAUUAGGUAGUUGGUGGGAUAAAAGCUUACCAAGCCGACGAUCUGUAGCUGGUCUGAGAGGACGACCAGCCACACUGGGACUGAGACACGGCCCAGACUCCUACGGGAGGCAGCAGUGGGGAAUUUUGGACAAUGGGCGAAAGCCUGAUCCAGCAAUGCCGCGUGCAGGAUGAAGGCCUUCGGGUUGUAAACUGCUUUUGUACGGAACGAAAAGUCCCGGGAUAACACCCCGGGACCAUG
rnacentral:rRNA from 1 species